rnacentral:lncRNA from 1 species
AUUGAGGGUUGCGUCAACAUAAAGCAUCUGGUAUCCGACUCCAUGAUUAAAUAUUUGCAGCAGCUCAAAUGCUUGGAAGUAAGUGAAUGCAAAUGCAUGUAGGAGAUAAUAUCAAUGGAGAAGCAGAUCGAAGAAGCAUUCUAAAACAGAGGAUUAAUUUGCUUCCCUCGAUUGAACUCCCUCAAAUUGAAAGAUCUUCAGAAACUCAUUGGAUUUUUCCAUGAAGAUUAUACUGUUGACUUCCCAGCCUUAAAGAUUCUUGAGAUAGAAAACAGUCCAGACUUGAAGGCAUUCAUCCAUAAAUCUAUCGACAAAGAUAACCCUACUGGUGGAGUUUUGUUCAACGAAAAGGUACUAUUUUUAACGCAGUGAAUUGUACCUUAUUUUCAUUUCUCUUGUUAUAAUUAACUCUUCUAAUCAUUUCUUCCACAGACAUGAAUACUGACAUCAACUAUAUUACUUCUGUUAAAUUCACCAUCUCUAAACAACAUAAAUUCAAGGAUUAACUAAACAUAACAAUAAAAAGAAUUUAAAACCCCAAAAAGAACAAAUCUUGCAGAGACCCAAAAUUAAAAAAAAAGGAAACAUGAUUACAUAUGGCUUGUAAAUUGAAGGUUUAGUUGACCUGUAAUGAAUAUGGAUUUCCAUUGAAAUAAAUUGAAGCCUUGAGUGGAGCCUGGAAAGAAUCAAAAAUGGCGAUAACUAGGCGCAGGCAAGGCAACCAAGAAGAGGAAUAAAUUAGGAGGAAUUGAAAGCUUAAAAACCUAAAACACUAACCUGUAAAUGACCAAAUCCGGGCACAGUGCGAUGAAGAAGAAGCUGUAAUCAGAAAAGGGGAAACCGAUUACAUGCAGAAUCAGUAGAGUGAAACAAAUCUGGAGGGGAUUAACUUACCAACAAGGAAAUCGGCAGAGGCUAGAAGGAACAGAAGAGAAACGGGGAAGCAGAUGGGAGGGUAUAACAGGGAUGGUAAACCUAUGCGGCGCCUAAUCUGAGCAAAUGGGGUGUAUUAGAAAUCGGUGGAUUUCACCGAUUAGGUUAGUAUUGUAUUACA